rnacentral:lncRNA from 1 species
CACCACCCCAAAGACCUAUUGCCACCCCAAAACCACAACCCCAUUCAUUGUUAGAAGUCUACAACCCCCAGCUCCAUUUUCCAUUUUUUCUCCAUAGCCACCGGAGCAACCAGCAAGCUCCAAACCAACCAACAAAAUCACCAUCCGAACCCAAAUGGUCUUCUUCUUUCUCCACGGACAGAUCUGGAAAUGCAUCACCAUGCCGUAAACCUUCAGACAACCCAAACCAGCCCCAUUUUUCAUCUUUUCUGACCGAAAUCCCAACCCAAACACCUCCCAAAUCAUAUCACCAAACCUCCGACUGAGCCGCGAACAAACAACCAUCACUCAACCUUCGUUCCUCGCGUUUUCCGGCGAAAAACAACCAGAAGCCAGACCCACAACGCAACAACCAAAACGCCUUCGUUUUUCUCCUUUUUCCGGUGAAAAAGUCACCGGAAACGACCCCAAGACUCAACCCCAAAUGGCCAGUCCCUUCCCCUUUCACGAUUUUCCUUCAUUUUCAGAUGUUUCGAUGCAGUAUCAAUGAGCAAUCAGUGAGCC